rnacentral:lncRNA from 1 species
AAUAUCUAUGCAGAAAUAACAAAUUAAAGGGGAAAAAAGAUCACUGGCCUACUGCUCAUGUACAGUAGCUAUGAAGUGAUCAUUCCUCAUAUUCGGUCAGCUGUGUUGUGAUUAGAAAUGAAUUGGCCUAAGUAGCAUUUUGGAGUCUUUAAGGGUUUGGGCGCAGCUAAAAGAAAAAAAAUCCAUAAUCCAGACCAAAGAAUUGCACGAAAACCUCUCUCGCUUUCAUUCUUUUAAGCCUUCUCCUCCACAUCGCGAGUCAGUUACCUGAAUCUAUUGACGUCACCGCGUCUUUCAAAAAGAGAAAUAUUCACCUCAAAAGGUUUUGAUUUCAGCCACAAAGAGGAGGCGCUGGUAUUGAUCAGAGUCGCUGUCUGUCUGUUCUUUUCUCUACCAGGGACCGAAGAGCUCCAGCCUCUAUAGAGGGACUCAGACAGGGUGGGAGGAGAUCCCAGCAGGGUUCAGCUCCUCACCAAUGGGUUUAUGGUCUGAAGACGAGCAGCACUCAUCUCUUUCACAUCCUUUGUAGGUCAGUUCCUAUUUUUACUCGUUUUCUUCCCCUAUUUUUUUUUGUGCAAGGACACCCAUUGUUGUCGCCCGACACAAGCAAAGUCUGUCGUAUUGGUAAACAAAUCAAUUACUCUUUCACAAUGGCUGCGAUGUGCUCAUCAAAGACACAUUAUCACUCUGUGCCGUAUUGUUGUCAUCAUGACACCUCUAAUCAUGGUUAU